rnacentral:rRNA from 1 species
UACGGGGGGGGCAAGCGUUGUUCGGAAUUACUGGGCGUAAAGGGCGCGUAGGCGGGCGGGCAAGUCUCUCGUGAAAGCCCACGGCUCAACCGUGGAAUUGCGGGAGAUACUGCUUGUCUUGAGUCCGGGAGAGGAGAGUGGAAUUCCCAGUGUAGCGGUGAAAUGCGUAGAUAUUGGGAGGAACACCGGUGGCGAAGGCGGCUCUCUGGACCGGUACUGACGCUGAGGCGCGAAAGCUAGGGGAGCAAAC